CGUAGAUUAGAUGGUUCGUUAAAUCGAGUACCACUAGGCUGUUAUCCUAGAAUAUGGAGUGUAUUACAUAGAAGUCAAGGAAUAUCUAUUAAAGGUUCACUUUUACAGAAAAGUUUGACGCAAGAGAUGACGCCGGGGGAGUUUAAAUUUGCUCUACAAGUAGAAAUGGUUCUAAAUAAAAUACCGCAGCCAGAAUACAGACAGUUAAUGGUG